GAUGAACGCUAGCGACAGGCCUAACACAUGCAAGUCGAGGGGCAGCACGAAGUAAGCUUGCUUACUUUGGUGGCGACCGGCGCACGGGUGCGUAACGGGUGUGCAAUCUGUCCAGUAAUCGGGGAAUAGCCCAGCGAAAGUUGGAUUAAUGCUCCCAUGUGAGUUUUAGAGGCAUCGUACUUUAAUUUGAAACGUAAGGAUUAUGGGUGAGCACGCUUCUGAUUAGGUAGUUGGUGAGGUAACGGCUCACCAAGCCGACGAUCAGUAGGGGUUCUGAGAGGAAGGUCCCCCACAUUGGAACUGAGACACGGUCCAA
rnacentral:rRNA from 1 species